AGGUAUAAUUAUUACUCAAAUAA
rnacentral:snRNA from 1 species